rnacentral:rRNA from 1 species
AGGACGAACGCUGGCGGCGUGCUUAACACAUGCAAGUCGAACGAUGAAGCCUUCGGGUGGAUUAGUGGCGAACGGGUGAGUAACACGUGGGUGAUCUGCCUCGUACUUCGGGAUAAGCUUGGGAAACUGGGUCUAAUACCGGAUAUGACCAUACUGUGCAUGUGGUGUGGUGGAAAGAUUUAUCGGUGCGAGAUGAGCCCGCGGCCUAUCAGCUUGUUGGUGGGUAAUGGCCUACCAAGGCGACGACGGGUAGCCGGCCUGAGAGGGCGAUCGGCCACACUGGGACUGAGACACGGCCCAGACUCCUACGGGAGGCAGCAGUGGGGAAUAUUGCACAAUGGGCGCAAGCCUGAUGCAGCGACGCCGCGUGGAGGAUGACGGCCUUCGGGUUGUAAACGUCCUUUCGACAGGGACGAAGCGUGAGUGACGGUACCUGUAGAAGAAGCACCGGCCAACUACGUGCCAGCAGCCGC